UAGCGUAGUUGGUAACGCGCCUGUCUUGCGAAUUGGCGGGCGUGAGUUAGAUUCUCAC
rnacentral:tRNA from 1 species